rnacentral:lncRNA from 1 species
AUGAUCGUGCCUUCUAACCCUUCGUCUAAGUCGUUAAUAAAGAUGUUGAACAGAACCGGGCCCAGGACGGAGCCCUGCGGCACUCCACUUGUCACUUCUUUCCAUGAUGAAGACGACGCAUUGGUGAGCAUCCUUUGGGUUCGUUCGCUUAGCCAAUUACAGAUCCACCUAACCGUAGUUUUGUCUAGCCCACAUUUUACUAGUUUGUUUGCCAGAAGGUCAUGCCAGACUAAUCUGAUCUCUUUUUUCGAUAGAGAUACAAGUUGGUUAGAUGCAGGGAAUGCCAUGGAUGUAGCGUAUCUGGAUUUCAGUAAGGCCUUCAACGAGGUCCGCCAUGACCUUCUGGCAAAUAAACUAGUAAAAUAUAGGCUAGGCAAAACUACGGUUAGGUGGAUCUGUUAUUGGUUAAGCGAACGAACCCAAAGGAUGUUCACCAAUGCAUCUUCUUCAUCUUUGAAAGAAGUCACGAGUGGAGUGCCGCAUGGUUCUGUCCUGGGCCCAGUUCUGUUCAACAUCUUUAUUAACGACUUAGACGAAGGGUUAGAAGACAUGAUCAUCAAGGAAUUCAAAAUGAUCUUAACAGACUAGGGCUGAAACUAACAAAAUGAAGUUCAACAGGGACAAUGCAAGAUACUCCACUUAGGCAGAAAAUAUGAAAUGCAAAGAUACAGAAUGGGGAACUCCUGGCUCAACAGCAGUACGUGUGAAAAAGAUCUUGGAGUCCUUGUGGACAACAAGUUAAAUAUGAGCCAACAAUGUGAUGUGGCGGCAAAAAAGCCAAUGGGAUUUUGGCCUGCAUAGGAGUAUAGUGUCUAGAUCCAUGGAAGUCAUGCUAUCCCUUCUAUUGGUCAGACCACACCUGGAAUACUGUGUCCAAUUCUGGGCACAGCAAUUUAAGGGAGUUGUUGGCAAGCUGGAAAGUUUCCAGAGAAGGGCGACUAAAAUGAUCAAGGGUCUGGAGAACAAGCCAUAUGACGAGCAGCUUAAAGAACUGGUCAUGUUUAGCCUGCAGAAGAGAAGGCUGAGAGGAGACAUGAUAGCCAGGUAUAAAUAUGUGAGGGGAAGUCAUAGGGAGGAGGGAGCAAGCUUGUUUUCUGCUGCCCUGGAGACUAGGACGUGGAAGAAUGGUUUUAAACUACAGAAAAGGAGAUUUCACCUGAACAUCAGGAAGAACUUCCUCACUGUGAGAGCUGUUCAGCAGUGGAACUCUCUGCCCCGGGCUGUGGUAGAGGCUCUUUCUUUGGAGGCUUUUAAGCAGAGGCUGGAUGGCCAUCUGUCGGGGGUGCUUUGAAUGUGAUUUUCCUGCUUCUUGGCAGGGGGUUGGACUGGAUGGCCCAACUCUGUGUUUCUCUGAUUCUAUGGUUGUCAAGUGAAGGUUUUUCCUUGGUCCUACCACUGACAAAGACCUGUGUGAUAAUGAUACAUGACAGUGGUUCUCAACCUGGGGUCCCCACAUGUUUUUGGCCUACAACUCCCAGAAAUCCCAUCCAGUUUACCAGCUGUUAGGAUUUCUGGGAGCUGAAGGCCAAAAACAUUUGGGGACCCCAGGUUGAGAACCACAGAUACAAGAGAUGGUCUUCUUGAUGACUAUGCAACUGUCUUCCACUAAAGACAACAUAAGCCCCCCUCUCUAUUCUCCUUCCACUGACAGAUGAAGACCAUUUUUUCUACAUAGGCUUUUGAUGAUUAACUGAUUGUUGACAAAAGAGGCUUUUAAUUGAGCAUAUGAAAAUCAGGCCCUGAACUUUUAGUCUCAUUGUUAUAUUUUUAGAUGUUUGUGUGCUAUUUAAAAUUUGUGGUGUUUUAGUCAUUGCAGAAGUUGUGUGUGGAGGUCAUUAAUUCCAAUAGGGUUCACUGUUAUUCAUGGUUUCCUGUUUACAUGGUAUCAAGGAACAUAUCUUCAGUAGGAUUGUAAUCAUGGAUGGGAUCCAAAGGAGUCAUUAUGAUGAUGGAACUAAUUAUGUCAAUAGAAUUGGAAAGGCAGCAAUCAGUUCUAUUAUUUGCUGUCUCCAUAGUUUCUAAUCUAAACCUUUUCUUGAGGAGUAGUAGGCAGCUCUCUGGUAAUAAGGAGUAGAAGAAAGUUGUGUGACAAGCAACAUGAAGGAACAUUGGCAGGAACAUGAAGUAGUCCAUUUGUAGGAUGCAUACCCAGUGGUACAGUUCUAAAAUGUUGUUCCCAGUGUUCCUGUGAGGCACGUAUCGUAAGAGCAAUAACAUGAACAGAAAUAUGGUAGAAGAUUGAAAAACCUAUAAGCAAACAGGAAUUCUUUCAUUUCCUUUGCCGAAGGGUACACACUGCUUGGAUUUGAGUGCUAACCCAGAGUUGCUUUGCCUAAGCAUUCCCCGGACUUCUUAUUUUUAGGGCCACAGUAGGAAGAUCUACUGUAACAGCCAGAAAUAUUUCACAGUUGAUUGACCUUGUUCUCCCCCUUUCUUUGUAGGGAAAAGAGAAGUCU